rnacentral:rRNA from 1 species
GUAGGUGGCAAGCGUUGUCCGGAAUUAUUGGGCGUAAAGCGCGCGCAGGCGGUUCUUUAAGUCUGAUGUGAAAGCCCACGGGCUCAACCGUGGAGGGUCAUUGGAAACUGGAGAACUUGAGUACAGAAGAGGAAAGCGGAAUUCCACGUGUAGCGGUGAAAUGCGUAGAGAUGUGGAGGAACACCAGUGGCGAAGGCGGCUUUCUGGUCUGUAACUGACGCUGAGGCGCGAAAGCGUGGGGAGGCAAACAGGAUUAGAUACCCUGGUAGUCCACGCCGUAAACGAUGAGUGCUAAGUGUUAGGGGGUUUCCGCCCCUUAGUGCUGCAGCUAACGCAUUAAGCACUCCGCCUGGGGAGUACGGCCGCAAGGCUG